GCCUGUGUGAUGAAAUCGGUAGACAUGUUAGACUCAAAAUCUAAUGGGAAACCAUGUGGGUUCGAGUCCCACCACAGGUA
rnacentral:tRNA from 1 species